AAUAUCCUGAAGUUCGCGUUAAGGCUGUUAUUUAUCCUACAUCUUCAUACACGGGACCGCCGGGUCGCCCGGCCGCUGUCGGGCCGGCUUGACCGGAUGGCAAACGCCGGGCGCAGGGAACCCACUUAUCAAUAGAUAAGGUAUGAAUUGCAGUCUGACGGUCCUUCGGGAUUUUU
rnacentral:sRNA from 1 species